rnacentral:rRNA from 1 species
CACUCCUACGGGAGGCAGCAGUGGGGAAUUUCGGACAAUGGGCGAAAGCCUGAUCCAGCAAUGCCGCGUGAGUGAAGAAGGCCUUCGGGUUGUAAAGCUCUUUUGUCAGGGAAGAAACGGUGAAAGCUAAUAUCUUUUGCUAAUGACGGUACCUGAAGAAUAAGCACCGGCUAACUACGUGCCAGCAGCCGCGGUAAUACGUAGGGUGCAAGCGUUAAUCGGAAUUACUGGGCGUAAAGCGUGCGCAGGCGGUUUUGUAAGUCUGAUGUGAAAUCCCCGGGCUCAACCUGGGAAUUGCAUUGGAGACUGCAAGGCUAGAAUCUGGCAGAGGUGGGUAGAAUUCCACGUGUAGCAGUGAAAUGCGUAGAUAUGUGGAGGAACACCGAUGGCGAAGGCAGCCCCCUGGGUCAAGAUUGACGCUCAUGCACGAAAGCGUGGGGAGCAAACAGGAUUAGAUACCCGGGUAGUCCCAUGAU